rnacentral:rRNA from 1 species
UAGGGAAUCUUCCGCAAUGGGCGAAAGCCUGACGUAGCACCGCCGCGUGUGUGAUGAAGGUCUUCGGGUCGUAAAACUCUGUUAUUAGGGAAGAACAAAUGUGUAAGUAACUAUGCACGUCUUGACGGUACCUAAUCAGAAAGCCACGGCUAACUACGUGCCAGCAGCCGCGGUAAUACGUAGGUGGCAAGCGUUAUCCGGAAUUAUUGGGCGUAAAGCGCGCGUAGGCGGUUUUUUAAGUCUGAUGUAGAAGCCCACGAGUCAAACGUGGAGGGUAAUUGGAAACUGGGAAACUUGAGUGCAGAAGAGGAAAGUGGAAUUCCAUGUGGAGCGGUGAAAUGCGCAGAGAGAUGGAGGAACACCAGGGGCGAAGGUGACAUUCUGGUCUGUAACUGACGCUGAUGUGCGAAAGCGUGGGGAUCAAACAGG